rnacentral:rRNA from 1 species
UACGGAGGGUGCGAGCGUUGUCCGGAAUCAUUGGGCGUAAAGGGCGCGUAGGCGGCGAUCCAAGUUAGGCGUGAAAGCCCCGGGCUCAACCUGGGAAUAGCGCUUAAGACUGGGUUGCUUGAGUGCGGGAGAGGUGAGUGGAAUUCCCAGUGUAGAGGUGAAAUUCGUAGAUAUUGGGAAGAACACCAGUGGCGAAGGCGGCUCACUGGCCCGCAACUGACGCUGAGGCGCGAAAGCGUGGGGAGCAAACAGG